UCCCAAACUGGGAUUAGAUACCCCACUAUGCUUAGCCCUAAACCUAGAUAGUUAGCUCAAACAAAACUAUCCGCCAGAGAACUACUAGCAACAGCUUAAAACUCAAAGGACUUGGCGGUGCUUUAUAUCCCUCUAGAGGAGCCUGUUCUAUAAUCGAUAAACCCCGAUAAACCUCACCAUCUCUUGCUAAUUCAGCCUAUAUACCGCCAUCUUCAGCAA
rnacentral:rRNA from 1 species